rnacentral:rRNA from 1 species
AUUGAACGCUGGCGGCAUGCCUUACACAUGCAAGUCGAACGGCAGCACGGGGCAACCUGGUGGCGAGUGGCGAACGGGUGAGUAAUGCAUCGGAACGUACCUUUCAGUGGGGGAUAACGUAGCGAAAGUUACGCUAAUACCGCAUAUUCUGUGAGCAGGAAAGCAGGGGAUCGCAAGACCUUGCGCUGAUGGAGCGGCCGAAGUCUGAUUUGCUAGUUGGUGAGGUAAAGGCUCACCAAGGCGACGAUCUGUAGCGGGGCUGAGAGGAUGAUCCACCCAACUGGAACUGAGACACGGUCCAGACUCCUACGGGAGGCAGCAGUGGGGAAUUUUGGACAAUGGGGGCAACCCUGAUCCAGCCAUGCCGCGUGAGUGAAGAAGGCCUUCGGGUUGUAAAGCUCUUUCGGCCAGGAAGAAAUCGCACGGGCUAAUACCCUGUGUGGAUGACGGUACCGGAAUAAGAAGCACCGGCUAACUACGUGCCAGCCGCCGCUGUAACAC